CGAAAACUUGGUCAUUUAGAUGGAAGUAAAAAGUCGUAACAAGGUUUCCGUAGGUGAACCUGCGGAAGGAUCAUUACCGAGUGAGGGCCCUCUGGGUCCAACCUCCCACCCGUGUUUAUUUUACCUUGUUGCUUCGGCGGGCCCGCCUUAACUGGCCGCCGGGGGGCUUACGCCCCCGGGCCCGCGCCCGCCGAAGACACCCUCGAACUCUGUCUGAAGAUUGUAGUCUGAGUGAAAAUAUAAAUUAUUUAAAACUUUCAACAACGGAUCUCUUGGUUCCGGCAUCGAUGAAGAACGCAGCGAAAUGCGAUACGUAAUGUGAAUUGCAAAUUCAGUGAAUCAUCGAGUCUUUGAACGCACAUUGCGCCCCCUGGUAUUCCGGGGGGCAUGCCUGUCCGAGCGUCAUUGCUGCCCUCAAGCACGGCUUGUGUGUUGGGCCCCGUCCUCCGAUCCCGGGGGACGGGCCCGAAAGGCAGCGGCGGCACCGCGUCCGGUCCUCGAGCGUAUGGGGCUUUGUCACCCGCUCUGUAGGCCCGGCCGGCGCUUGCCGAUCAACCCAAAUUUUUAUCCAGGUUGACCUCGGAUCAGGUAGGGAUACCCGCUGAACUUAAGCAUAUCAAUAA
rnacentral:rRNA from 1 species